CAGCAACAGCAGCAGCAGAUGAUGCAGGAGCAGCGCCAACAGGCCCAAGCAAUCGCGCGCGUGCAGCGCCAGCUGGAGGAGGACCUGCCCACCUCGCUGCAGAGCCGCGUGCCGCCCCAGCUGCACGUGACCACCUCCCAGGAGGCGCUCUCCCACCCGCACAUGUCCCCCCGCGCCCAUCCCUCCCCCAGCG